AGCAUUGUUUUAAUGCUUUGAUGAAGCUCAGCACGCUGCCGAAAUCUCGGCAGUAUUUUUUCUUUUCUUUUUGCAUGUGAGAGAAAGGACAACAAAUUGCAGUUUUAUCCAUUUGUAUUAUUUCUUUAGAAAACUCAACACUCUUUUUGUUGGAGGUGGGGAAAUGAGAAGGUGAUGUUUUGUUUUGCUUUUUUUCCUAUUUUUUUUUUUUAAAGGAGGAGAAGAUGACAGUGUUCUCCCUAAGGAUGAAGUUUGACUUUUGAAACAUAUCACAUGCUUAAAGCACAUUUGAGCUCCUGCAUGAACAGUAAGCUAGCAGAUGGUAGAAAUAUUCUUUAUUAAUUCAAAAAAUAUUUACUGCGGACCUACAAUGUGCCAAGCAUGUCUCCUGACACUGGGGAUAAGCAGUGAACAACAACAAAAAGACAAACUUCUUCCACCCUGAGGCGUAUGUUCUCGGUGAGAAAUGGGCAAUAAACAUAAUACCUAAGAAAAUUAUACGGGAUGUUAGUGACAAAUGCAGUGGAGGAAAAGGGAGGCCAGGGGCAUCAAGUGUGGAGAUCAGAAGUGGUAGAGUUACAAUUUUAAAUAAGAGGGACAGAUAGACAUGAUUAAGGAGGUGAAGUUUGAGCAGACAGUUGAGGGAGACCAGGAAGCUAGUUUUGUGUGUGCCCAAGUAAGAGUAUUCUAGGCAGAGACAGCAGCUGUUAAAAGGCUUUAAAUGGAGAAUGUGCCUGGCAUGUUCAAUUACAGCAGACGUGUGUGGGUCUGGCACAGAAAGAACAAGGGGAAAAGAAGAAAGAAGUAUUAAUAGACAAAGUAUUUAGUUAAGGAGAGCAGGGCAAAUUCUGUAAGGCAUUCAGAGCCAUUUCACUCCGGAAAAAAAAUGUGUAAUAUUGAAUAUACGUGUUAAAUGUUGAAUCUAUGGAAUUACCUUGGAGCUUAAAAUGAGUGUGCGAAGAAGAGGAUUCCCAUCUUUUAGUUGUUAUUACUAAAUCAAAUAGCUACUUGAUUGGAAGAUCAUUCAUCUUCAGUACUCUUGAGAGCGAUUUAAACAUGUCACCAAGCAUAUUUUUUUCCCUACUGGAGGAUGUUAAUUGGUGAUUAGGUAGUCUAGCAAAAUCAGAUUCUUUAUGGAAAAAAUUUGUCAAUUGACAUACUAUUCUUAGGCACCACUUUCGCAGAACUAUGCGUCUAACUUUCAAAGGUCUAUUAUAUAUUAUUAAUACUCUUUUCAGAUAAAAUAUAAAUCUAGUUCCCUAAAAUUAAACCAUUUCAUGCAUGUCUUUUUUUUCUUACACAUAUAUCUUUAUUUUGCCUACACCAUUCUUUAAUACUAGAAAUGUACAGAAAGUCAAGGCAAGGUGUGUGUAGGAGACUUUGCAGUGGUUUUUGGCAUACUGAUCUGUUCAUAGAAAAUGGUAUUUAAAUGUGCAAAUGCAUGAUUAUGUCCACGGAAAGGGUGGUUCAUACUGCACAAAAGCAUCAAGUUUAAGACUUGGAUAACCUGUUUCGUGUGCAAGAGUCGGGAUAUGUAAUCAGAUUGUUUAUGGAAUAGCUGAAGUUCUUGGCAAGCUGUGGACUUCCUCAUCUCCUACCUAACAUUCCUAGGUUCCUGAGGUGGAGCCUUGAUUUAAAAGGGUUGCAACUUAGCCACCCCACCCUAAAUGAAACCUAUCAUGUAUAACAUCACAUUACCUGGAACAGGUUUGACUUGAUUUAGUAAAACCGAAUAUAC
rnacentral:lncRNA from 1 species